AUUGAACGCUGGCGGCAUGCCUUACACAUGCAAGUCGAACGGCAGCACAGGUGCUUGCCCCUGGUGGCGAGUGGCGAACGGGUGAGUAAUACAUCGGAACAUGUCCUGUAGUGGGGGAUAGCCCGGCGAAAGCCGGAUUAAUACCGCAUACGAUCUACGGAUGAAAGCGGGGGACCUUCGGGCCUCGCGCUAUAGGGUUGGCCGAUGGCUGAUUAGCUAGUUGGUGGGGUAAAGGCCUACCAAGGCGACGAUCAGUAGCUGGUCUGAGAGGACGACCAGCCACACUGGGACUGAGACACGGCCCAGACUCCUACGGGAGGCAGCAGUGGGGAAUUUUGGACAAUGGGCGAAAGCCUGAUCCAGCAAUGCCGCGUGUGUGAAGAAGGCCUUCGGGUUGUAAAGCACUUUUGUCCGGAAAGAAAUCCUUGGCCCUAAUACGGUCGGGGGAUGACGGUACCGGAAGAAUAAGCACCGGCUAACUACGUG
rnacentral:rRNA from 1 species